UGUGUGCCUCGUGUGGGUUGACUCAUUGUGGGGAAGAGCUCGGAGAGAGAGGGCAGUGUGUGUGUGUGCGCAGAGAGAGAGAGAGAGAGAGAGAGGGAGAGAGGAUCCUUGACGUGACUCUGGGGGUCUGAGCUGAAGCGACGCGGAGGCGCGAGGAGAAGGAACGAGACUCUCCCGAGUGGGGUCGAACUCGGAGCCCGAGGAGCGAGCGAGAGAGCGAGAGAGGGACAGAGGGAGAGAGCCGACAAGGACCACAAAGGCUGAAGGGGUCGGUCGCCUGUUCCCGGUCGAGAGACAGAGAGCAGAAGGCAGGAGAGAGGGGGGGGGACAGACCGGAGGACUCACAAUGAGCCGAACUGGGGAGAGAGUCAUCGCGGGACAGUGUAGUGCAGACCGGAGGACUCACAAUGAGCCGAACUGGGGAGCGAGUCAUCGCGGGACAGUGUAG